AUUGAGCGCUAGCGGGAUGCUUUACACAUGCAAGUCGAACGGCAGCGCGGACUUCGGUCUGGCGGCGAGUGGCGAACGGGUGAGUAAUGUAUCGGAACGUGCCCAGUAGCGGGGGAUAACUACGCGAAAGCGUAGCUAAUACCGCAUACGCCCUACGGGGGAAAGCAGGGGAUCGUAAGACCUUGCACUAUUGGAGCGGCCGAUAUCGGAUUAGCUAGUUGGUGAGGUAACGGCUCACCAAGGCGACGAUCCGUAGCUGGUUUGAGAGGACGACCAGCCACACUGGGACUGAGACACGGCCCAGACUCCUACGGGAGGCAGCAGUGGGGAAUUUUGGACAAUGGGGGCAACCCUGAUCCAGCCAUCCCGCGUGUGCGAUGAAGGCCUUCGGGUUGUAAAGCACUUUUGGCAGGAAAGAAACGUCGCGGGCUAAUACCCCGUGGAACUGACGGUACCUGCAGAAUAAGCACCGGCUAACUACGUG
rnacentral:rRNA from 1 species